AUAUUUUCGUGCUGUUUGCUUGCGCAACAUGUUUUCUGCUCUACACUUGCCGCCGCGCCACCCUUUCUCUUGUAGAUAUAUACAUACAUAUGCAGGCGUAGGCGCUGCCUUCGAUUUUGUGCUGUAAAUAUGGCAAUUUGCUUGAUUAAACAGUGAAAUAAUUGCACUUUUCUACAAAAAUUAUAUGUAAAUAUCGAUGCCGCCAACACAAUUUUAUCGGCGUUCUGGGGGCGUUACAGUUUUUUAUGAUGAUUUUGAUUAUAGGUAUUCCAGUUUCUUAAAGUAGUAAAUUUUUAGAUAUUUACUAAAGCAAAUUAAUUUUGAAGUAUGUAUGUAUGUAUACAUGUAUGUUGUACCAACGUUGUCGAAGAUCUGAUGACAUGAAUUCGUAGGCGAUGACGGUUGUUGAAAUUAAGUGCAAACUGAACGCUUUCUUCAUAUUGACUUUACUGUGGGUUUUAACGAUACGCCUAUGUAAAUAUGUAAAUAAAAGCCUGUUCA